rnacentral:rRNA from 1 species
GACGAACGCUGGCGGCGUGCCUAAUACAUGCAAGUCGAGCGAAGCGGCGGAUGGGUGAGUAACGCGUGGGUUACCUGCCCUUAAGUCUUGGAUACCAUUUAGAAACACAUGCUAAUACCGGAUACUACAGGAUGGACCUGGGAUGCAUUAGCUAGUUGGUAAGGUAACGGCUUACCAAGGCAAUGAUGCAUAGCAGAGUUGAGAGACUGAGCGGCCACAUUGGGACUGAGACACGGCCCAAACUCCGACGGGAGGCAGCAGUAGGGAAUCUUACACAAUGGACGAAAGUCUGAUGGAGCAACGCCGCGUGAGUGAAGAAGGUUUUCGGAUCGUAAAGCUCUGUUGUUGGUGAAGCGGUAAUCAACCAGAAAGUCACGGCUAACUACGUGCCAGCAGCCGCGGUAAUUC